AUUGAACGCUGGCGGCAGGCCUAACACAUGCAAGUCGAGCGGAUGAAGGGAGCUUGCUCCUGGAUUCAGCGGCGGACGGGUGAGUAAUGCCUAGGAAUCUGCCUGGUAGUGGGGGAUAACGUCCGGAAACGGGCGCUAAUACCGCAUACGUCCUGAGGGAGAAAGUGGGGGAUCUUCGGACCUCACGCUAUCAGAUGAGCCUAGGUCGGAUUAGCUAGUUGGUGGGGUAAAGGCCUACCAAGGCGACGAUCCGUAACUGGUCUGAGAGGAUGAUCAGUCACACUGGAACUGGGACACGGUCCAGACUCCUACGGGAGGCAGCAGUGGGGAAUAUUGGACAAUGGGCGAAAGCCUGAUCCAGCCAUGCCGCGUGUGUGAAGAAGGUCUUCGGAUUGUAAAGCACUUUAAGUUGGGAGGAAGGGAAGUAAGUUAAUACCUUGCUGUUUUGACGUUACCAACAGAAUAAGCACCGGCUAACUUCGUG
rnacentral:rRNA from 1 species